CUCUUGUCCUGCCCUUGGGGCCCUUGCCUCUUCCCCCCUGCCUAUUGGUGGUGUGUGGAACUCAGGAGUGGUGACUCUAUCCCGACCUUAGUCUCUUGUCCUUUGCUUCAGGGCAUCAGUGUGGCUGUGGUCCUCUGAUGCAACAGAUGCUUUUUUUAUCUUAGGAGGCAUGCAGCAGACUGGUGGGAUGGCUCUCCCCAGGGCACGGAGGGCCACUUGCAAGACCCAUCCCACCGCUCUGCUGCAUGCCUCCUUGGUGUGUGAGCAUGUGUCACCUACUCUCUGUGGUGCCUCUGGAGUUGUACAGGUUGUCCCUCAGGUGCUGAAAAUCAAGCAGUGCUGUUUCCUAUUCCCAGCAAACCCCUUGUGUCACCACUGUGGCGGUGUGUCCUGUGCAUAGCAUUCUUGGGCGCCUUGAUGGUAAGGUGGCACACCUGUCCCACUUUUGGGGCAAGUACCUCAUUGUGGUCAUGCUUACUGUGCUAGAGGGACUGAGGUUGCCAGGUGAAUGCCAUGAAUACCUUUUUGCCAGGACUUGUGUGCAAUAGUGGGAGGCUGGGCAGUACAGAGAGGGGCUCAGUCAGACUUCAGGGUUAGGGUUAGGGUGAGGGACAGUUUCAGAAACUUGGUAGGACAUGGGUGAGGAUAUUAGCUCAGGAUAAUGUCAGGACUUUAGAUAUUGACGGCCGCAGGGCCUUAGAGACAGUGUCAGGGCCUGACUUAGGACGAGCAUCAGAGCGUCUGUUAGGUACAGUGUCAGGGACUGAGUUAGGUGUUGUGUCAGGGCCUGAAUUAGGACGAGCCUCCAGGCCUGAGUUAGGGACAGGGUCACGGCCUCGGUACUAAUUUCAGGGCCUUAGUUAGGGACAGCAUGAGGGAUUUAGUUAGCAUUAGAGCCGCGACAUUAGUUAAAGACAUGGUUAGGUUAAGGUCUAGGGAUAGUGUCAAGACAUGACCUAGGGAUAGUGCCAAGACCUUAGUUACUUGGAGCAUCAGGGCCUAAUUUAGGACCAGUGUUAGGGCUUCAGGUAGGGACAGUGUCAGAGCCGGACUUAGGGAAAGCGACAGGGCUUGAGUGAGCCCUAGCGUCAGGGCCUUAGCUAGGGACAGUGUCAGGGCAUGACUUAGGAGUAGCAUAAAGGCCUUGGCAGGAUCAGCCUCAGGGGCUUUGCUAAAGCCAAUAUCAGGGCCUCUGUUAGGGACAACCUCAGGGCCUCACGGACAGCGUCAUGGCUUACUUGGGGACAGUUUCAGGACCUUGGUAAGAGAUGGGUGAGGAAAUUAGUUCAGGAUAGUGUCAGGACAUUAUCUACACACACAGCUGGGUGAGACAUAAGGCUGGACACUUGGGGCUGAGAGGACUGAUGAGGUUCGGGGAGCAAAUAGAGACGCUUUGAAGUAAUACUGCAUGCUACACAUUCAAUGGGUCUCAACUCAACAGCAGGGCCUUAGUUAGGGACACUGUCAACGCCUUAGUUAGGACUAGCAUCAGAGCCUCUGUUAGGUACCGUGUCAGGGCCUGAGUUAGGAAUAGUGUUAGGGCAUCAGUUAGGGACAGUUCUGGGCCGCAUUUAGGACGAGCAUCUAGGCCUUAGUUAGGGACAGUGUCAUGGACGUGGGCCUAAAAUCAGGGUCUUUGUUAGGCACAGUGUAAGGGCUUCAGUUAGCAUAAGAGGCAGGACAUUUGCUAGGGACAGGGUUAGGGUAAAGUUUAGGGAUCGUGUCAGGAAAUGACCAAGGGAUAGUGUCAAGACAUUAGUCACUGAGACUAUCAGGGCCUUAAUUAGAACCAGUAUCAAGGCUUCAGGUAGGGAGAGCGUCAGUGCCUGACUGAGGGAGAGCUAUUGGGCCUGAAUGAGCCUAGCGUCAGGCCCUUAGCUGGGGACACUGUCAGGGCAUGAUGUAGGAGCCGCAUCAGGGCCUUUGUUGGGUCAGCAAUAGAGUCUUAGUUAAAGACAUGAUCAGGGCCUGAGGUAGUCACAGUGUCAAGGCCUCAGUUAGGCAUAGCUUCAGGGCCUGAGUUAGACACAGCCUCUCACCUUCACUUAUGGACAGCGACAGGUCUUUCUUAGGGACAGUGUCAGGACCUUGGUUAGAAAUGGGUCAGGAUAUUAGCUCAGGAUAGUGUCCGGAUUUUAGUUUUUGCCGGCAGCAGGGCCUAUAUUAGGGACAGAUUGUGGGCCUUAGUUAGAGCCAGUGUCAGGGCCUUAGUUAAGACUAGUCAGGGCCUUAGUUAGGGAGAGCAUUAGGGUAUCAGUGAGGAUAAGAGGCAGGAAAUUAACUCGGGACAGACUUAGCUUCCAGGCCACGGGUAGUGUCAGGAAAUGAGCUAGGGAUAGUGUGAAGACCUUAGUUAUUGAGAGCAUCAGGGCUUUAAUCAGGACCAGCGUCAGGGCUUUAAUCAGGACCAGUUUCAGGGCUUGAUACCGGGGCAGCGUCAGAGCCUAACUGAGGUUCGGCAACAGGGCCUAAGUGAGGCCUAUCUCUGGGGCCUGAGUUAGGGACAGUGUCAGGGCAUGACCGAGGAGUAGUAUGAUGGCCUCUGUAGGAUCAGCAUCAGGGUCUUGGUUAAAGACAUGCUCAGGGCCUCUUUUAGGGACAGCCUCAGGGCCUCACUUAGGGACAGCGUCAGGGCUUACUUUGGGACAGUUUCAGGACCUUGGUAAGAAAUGGGUCAGGAUAUUAGCUCAGGAUAAUGUCAGGACUUUAGAUAUUGACGGCAGCAGGGCCUUGGAGAGAUAGAUAUUGACGGUAGCAGGGCCUUAGAGACAGUGUCAGGGCCUGACCUAGGACGAGCAUCAGAGCCUUUGUUAGGUACAGUGUCAGGGACUGAGUUAGGUGUUGUGUCAGGGCCUGAGUUAGGACGAGCCUCCAGGCCUGAGUUAGGGACAGGGUCACGGCCUCGGGACUAAUUUCAGGGCCUUAGUUAGGGACAGCAUCAGGGAUUUAGUUAGCAUAAGAGGCUCGACCUUCGUUAAAAGACAUGUUUAUGUUAAGGUCUAGGGGUAGUGUCAAGGCAUGACCUAGGGAUAGUGCCAAGACCUUAGUUACUUAGAGCAUCAGGGCCUAAUUUAACCUCAGUGUUAGGGCUUCAGAUAGGGACACCGUCAGAGCCGGACAUAGCUAGGGCGACAGGACUUGAGGGAGGCCUAGCAUCAGGGCCUUAACUAGGGACAGUGUCAGGGCAUGACUUAGGAGUAACAUAAGGGGCUCAGUAGCAUCAGCCUCAGGGGCUUUGCAAAAGCCAUUUUCAGGGCCUUUUCAGGACAUUUGCUAGGGAUAGGGUUAAGGUAAAGUUUAGGGGUCGUGUCAGGAAAUGACGUAGGGAUAGUGUCAAGACCUUAGUAACUGACAGUAUCAGGCCC